CCCAUUUUCAGUGUACUGUCUGAUAUCAAUGAGUUCCUCAAACCAAAGCAAGCAUCCACUUCCGUCUGUGAUAUUCAAAGUUGAAUAAGCUGUACAAGAGCAAUUGUUCAGGCACACACUCUCACAUUCUCUAAGGUCCAUGGUCCUGUUAAACCAGGAAUUUUUCGUAUCUGGCAAUUUGACGCCUGAUAUUUUCUGAAACCCCUCUCCUGCCCUACAAAUUGAUCCAUUCUUUCUUACGCAUCCGUUAGACCAAUACCCUGAAUCCCAAGCUUGCUCAUCUUUCGGUACAAAUCCAUCCAGGCAAGCACAUGGCGGCGAAUUGUUAAUGUUACAAGUUCCAUAUGCA
rnacentral:misc_RNA from 1 species